GAAGUCUAGUAAACGAAAACUUAAGAAGCCAACAGUAACAUCAUGGGUUUGGGACAAGCCACAAGAAGAUGCCUUCCAGAAGCUCAAAAGUCAACUUGCGAUGCCACCUGUUCUUGGUUAUCCACGUUACAAGGAACCUUUUGAACUACAUACAGACGCAUCUAUGCUUGGUCUUGGAGCAAUACUGUACCAAUCACAAGAAGGAAAGAAAAGAGCCAUAGCCUAUGCCAGCAGAGGACUUAGCAAGACUGAGAGGAACUACCCAGUCCAUAAAUUAGAAUUCCUUGCUCUGAAAUGGUCAGUAACAGAGAAAUUUCAUGAUUACCUUUAUGGCAACACAUUUACCGUGGUUACAGACAACAACCCACUUACUUACGUCUUAACAACAGCAAAGCUAGACGCCACUGGUCAUCGUUGGAUAGCUAGUUUGUCAUCUUACAACUUUAACAUCGUCUAUCGACCUGGUGUCAACAACGCUGAUGCAGAUGCACUUUCCAGACUUCCAGAACUACUUGGUCGUACCAACACCUCCAACAUUAGUACAGAUUCUGUGAAAGCCAUUUGUCAGUUACAACAUGCACA
rnacentral:lncRNA from 1 species